rfam:Camelus ferus unplaced genomic scaffold scaffold1558, whole genome shotgun sequence.
GGGGGUAGAGCUCGGUGGUAGAGCGCAUGCUUGGUGUGCACGUGGUCCUGGGUUCAACCCCUAGUGCCUCUG